UGUCGGUGCUGCUCCAAGAACAGGGAUGUGGGCUGGAUUGAUUGGAAGUAUGAGGAGAAACUCAUGGGUAAGGCACAGAUCACCAUAAAAAUGAGUGUCAGAAGGAAGUGAUCAGUUGCCUGAGGAUCACAGGAAAAAGAAACCAAGAUGAGAAAUAGUGAGCAUGGAAAGCUCCCACUGGGAAUGAUCCAUGAAAGAAAUGCUGGGGUGUGAAUGUCGACAUGGCAGACCGGGUUCACAGCGUGUUUGUGAAGUGAAAACGCCUGUGCGUGGGACUUGGACCGGGUGCUUGACUUGUUUUCAGACGUUCCUCCCUCUUUCAGCAUUCUCUUCACCCCCAACUGCAAGAGAUGAAGGGAGAAAGAGAGAAAGAUUGAUCGGUUGCCUUCAAUCCAACCAAUGGAGCCACACC